rnacentral:rRNA from 1 species
UACGGAGGGGGCUAGCGUUGUUCGGAAUUACUGGGCGUAAAGCGCGCGUAGGCGGACCUGCAAGUCGGGGGUGAAAGCCCGAGGCUCAACCUCGGAACUGCCUUCGAUACUGCGGGUCUCGAGUCCGGGAGAGGUGAGUGGAAUUCCUAGUGUAGAGGUGAAAUUCGUAGAUAUUAGGAAGAACACCAGUGGGCGAAGGCGGCUCACUGGCCCGGUACUGGAC